AUGUCUGCUGAGGGGAAGGCCACGCUCAUGUGCCUGGCCAACAAGGGCUUCCCCUCAGACUGGAGUCUGGCCUGGAAGGUGGACGGCAGCAGCAGCAGCAGCAGCUGGGAGGAGAGCAGGAGCCCCGGGGUGCUGGGGAAGGACGGCAAAUACAGCUGGAGCAGCACCCUGAGGCUCCCUAAAGACCAGUGGGAGAAGGUGGGCUCUGUGACCUGUGAGGCCACCCAGGGCUCCCAGACUCCACUCUCAGAGACACUGAGGAGAGACCAGUGUUCCCAGUCCUGACCUGACUCACUGGGACUCUGCUACUGGUUUCACUCUGAUACUGAUCUCAGUCUGCUCUCUUCUACUCUCUCUCUGUUUAUCUCUUUCCCUCACUCACUGUCUAAUUACAUGUUUCAUUGAUAAAGUGUGUUGCAUGUCAAUUUUGAUUAUUUUAACACAAUAAAAUACUCUUCAUCGAA